rnacentral:rRNA from 1 species
CGACCGGCGCACGGGUGAGUAACGCGUAUGCAACUUACCUAUCAGAGGGGGAUAGCCCGGCGAAAGUCGGAUCAAUACCCCAUGAAACAGGGGUCCCGCAUGGGAAUAUUUGUUAAAGAUUCAUCGCUGAUAGAUAGGCAUGCGUUCCAUUAGGCAGUUGGCGGGGUAACGGCCCACCAAACCGACGAUGGAUAGGGGUUCUGAGAGGAAGGUCCCCCACAUUGGAACUGAGACACGGUCCAA